UACGUAGGUCCCGAGCGUUGUCCGGAAUUACUGGGUGUAAAGGGUGCGCAGGCGGUCUUGUGCGUCAGAGGUGAAAUAUCACGGCUCAACCGUGAGGGUGCCUUUGAUACGGCAAGACUUGAGUACGAGAGAGGGUGAUGGAAUUCCUGGUGUAGCGGUGAAAUGCGUAGAUAUCAGGAGGAACACCGGUGGCGAAGGCGGUCACCUGGCUCGUUACUGACGCUCAGGCACGAAAGUGUGGGUAGCAAACAGG
rnacentral:rRNA from 1 species